UACAGAGGUCUCAAGCGUUGUUCGGAUUCAUUGGGCGUAAAGGGUGUGUAGGCGGCGCCGUAAGUCGGGUGUGAAAUUUCGGAGCUUAACUCCGAAACUGCAUUUGAUACUGGUGUGCUUGAGGACGGGAGAGGAGACUGGAAUUCAUGGUGUAGCAGUGAAAUGCGUAGAGAUCAUGAGGAAGACCAGUGGCGAAGGCGGGUCUCUGGACAGUUCCUGACACUGAGGCACGAAGGCCAGGGGAGCAAACGGG
rnacentral:rRNA from 1 species